rnacentral:rRNA from 1 species
AUUGAACGCUGGCGGCAGGCCUAACACAUGCAAGUCGAGCGGAUGAAGGGAGCUUGCUCCUGGAUUCAGCGGCGGACGGGUGAGUAAUGCCUAGGAAUCUGCCUGGUAGUGGGGGCUAACGUCCGGAAACGGGCGCUAAUACCGCAUACGUCCUGAGGGUGAAAGUGGGGGUUCUUCGGACCUCACGCUAUCUGAUGAGCCUAGGUCGGAUUAGCUAGUUGGUGGGGUAAAGGCCUACCAAGGCGACGAUCCGUAACUGGUCUGAGAGGAUGAUCAGUCACACUGGAACUGAGACACGGUCCAGACUCCUACGGGAGGCAGCAGUGGGGAAUAUUGGACAAUGGGCGAAAGCCUGAUCCAGCCAUGCCGCGUGUGUGAAGAAGGUCUUCGGAUUGUAAAGCACUUUAAGUUGGGAGGAAGGGCAGUAAGUUAAUACCUUGCUGUUUUGACGUUACCAACAGAAUAAGCACCGGCUAACUUCGUG